UUUAUUUAAGAGUUUGAUCCUGGCUCAGGAUGAACGCUGGCUGUGUGCCUAAUACAUGCAUGUCGAGCGGGGUUCCCUCGGGAACCUAGCGGCGAAUGGGUGAGUAACACGUGCUUAAUCUGCCUCUUAGAUUGGAAUACCAAAUGGAAACAUUUGCUAAUGCCGGAUACGCAUGGAACCGCAUGGUUCCGUUGUGAAAGGAGCCUUUAAAGCUCCGCUAAGAGAUGAGGGUGCGGAACAUUAGUUAGU
rnacentral:rRNA from 1 species